GACAGAGGGUGCGAGCGUUGUUCGGAAUUACUGGGCGUAAAGCGCAUGUAGGCGGCAGCGCAAGUCGGGCGUGAAAUCCCACGGCUCAACCGUGGAAGUGCACUCGAAACUGCGCAGCUAGAGUCCUGGAGAGGAAGGUGGAAUGCUUGGUGUAGAGGUGAAAUUCGUAGAUAUCAAGCGGAACACCGGUGGCGAAGGCGGCCUUCUGGACAGUGACUGACGCUGAGAUGCGAAAGCGUGGGGAGCAAACAGG
rnacentral:rRNA from 1 species